GACGAACGCUAGCUACAGGCUUAACACAUGCAAGUCGAGCGACCGGCGCACGGGUGAGUAACACGUAUCCAACCUGCCCUCUACUCGGGGCUAGCCUUUCGAAAGAAAGAUCAAUACUCGAUAUAAAGGAUGGGGAGGCGUUCCAUUUGGUUGUUGGUGAGGUAACGGCUCACCAAGCCUUCGAUGGAUAGGGGUUCUGAGAGGAAGGUCCACCACAUUGGAACUGGGACACGGUCCAAACUCGUACCAGAAGCAGCAGUGAGGAAUAUUGGUCGAUAGGCGUUAGCCUGAACCGACCAAGUAGCGUGAAGGAUGAAAGGUUAUGGGUCGUAAACUUCUUUUAUGUAAGAAUAUGUAUUAUAUGAAUAAGGAUCGGCUAACUCCGUGCCAGCAGCCGCGGUAAUUC
rnacentral:rRNA from 1 species